rnacentral:SRP_RNA from 1 species
GCUGGGCGUGGUGGCGGGCGCCUGUAAUCCCAGCUACUCGGGAAGCUGAGGCAGGAGAAUCGCUUGAACUCAGGAGGUAGAGGUUGCAGUGAGCUAAGAUCUUGCCACUGCACUCCAGCCUGGGUGACAGAGUGAGACUCCGUUUCAA